rnacentral:piRNA from 1 species
UAAAGGCAUUUGCCANACCUAGCAGGGAA